rnacentral:tRNA from 1 species
GCCCCCGUGCCGAAAUUGGUAGACGGGCCAGCUUAGGAGGCUGGCGGGCCACUAGGCCCGUCCGGGUUCGAGACCCGGCGGGGGCA